rnacentral:rRNA from 1 species
UUCAAUUCGACGCAACGCGAAGAACCUUACCCAGGCUCGAACGGCACCUGACAUCCGGCGAAAGCCGGCUCCCGCAAGGGCAGGUGUCGAGGUGCUGCAUGGCUGUCGUCAGCUCGUGUCGUGAGAUGUUGGGUUAAGUCCCGCAACGAGCGCAACCCUUGUCCGCUGUUGCCAUCAGGUUAUGCUGGGCACUCUGCGGAGACUGCCGGUGAUAAACCGGAGGAAGGUGGGGAUGACGUCAAGUCAGCAUGGCCUUUAUGUCUGGGGCUACACACGUGCUACAAUGGCCGGUACAAACCGUCGCGAUCUCGCAAGAGGGAGCUAAUCGGAGAAAGCCGGUCUCAGUUCGGAUUGCAGGCUGCAACUCGCCUGCAUGAAGUUGGAAUCGCUAGUAAUCGCGGAUCAGCACGCCG